GGCGCUUUGGUGGAGUGGUUAACACGUUGCCCUGCUAUGAAUCUCCGGUUCAUACCAAGUCAGGCAAUUCCUUCGGGAGCGUAGGUUCGAAUCCUGCAGGCGUCG